CAUUCUAAUGGUUAGAGUGUUUAUGCAGAAAUCCUCUGCGUAAGUCAUGGAACGACUUUUAAGGAGAAAACAAUG
rnacentral:ncRNA from 1 species